rnacentral:rRNA from 1 species
UACGGAGGGUGCGAGCGUUUGUCCGGAAUCAUUGGGCGUAAAGGGCGCGUAGGCGGCCGAUUAAGUCGGGGGUGAAAGCCUGUGGCUCAACCACAGAAUUGCCUCGAUACUGGUUGGCUUGAGACCGGAAGAGGACAGCGGAACUGCGAGUGUAGAGGUGAAAUUCGUAGAUAUUCGCAAGAACACCAGUGGCGAAGGCGGCUGUCUGGUCCGGUUCUGACGCUGAGGCGCGAAAGCGUGGGGAGCAAACAGG